AUGCUCUUGAAGGAAUCAGUAAAGACUAUAGGCUGUGAGAAAGGGAACCCGAGGCCACGUUCAUGCCUAUCUCCAGGUUUUACCUGCUGUUCCUAUUUUGCCUCUGUGUUCCCUGGACACCACCAUUCCAGUGCAAGAUUUCCGGGGUUGAAUUCAUUUUCAGCAAAAGUUCUCAGAAGUGCUCUGACUGGCAUGGGACCAAGAGGCCACAUGCAGAUUUUAAGUUCUGUCACUGGGGUUUUGGGCAGUUGCCAUUCUGAGGAGGAGCUGAAGAGCACUGCUCUGCCAAAGAAAAAGAAGCUGGGAGAUGAAUCACUGAGUGGUUACCCAGAACAGAGAAUGUUGUCUGCAUUCAUCUAUCUUCCAUUCAAUCUCCCUUCAGAAAGACUAUUAUGGAGUUGUAAAUCAGGGCUCAGAGACAAGACGGGACUUCCUCGAGGUCAUGACGAGAUGACCUCAUGGCAAGCUGAAUGUGGCAAUUGUGAGAAUUAAACAGAAGAAGAAAUCCAUGGAUUGGAUAACGUGGGGAAGAUUUCAUGGAGUUAAUGGAACUUCAAUAUGGCUGGGAAAAUUGGGAAGAAUUUUAAGAAGAUAAGAGAAUAAAUGGAGUUCCAGGCAAUUUUAAAAACUAGCU
rnacentral:lncRNA from 13 species